rnacentral:rRNA from 1 species
CCUACGGGAGGCAGCAGUGGGGAAUAUUGCACAAUGGGGGAAACCCUGAUGCAGCGACGCCGCGUGAGUGAAGAAGUAUUUCGGUAUGUAAAGCUCUAUCAGCAGGGAAGAAGAAAGACGGUACCUGACUAAGAAGCCCCGGCGAACUACGUGCCAGCAGCCGCGGUAAUACGUAGGGGGCAAGCGUUACCCGGAUUUACUGGGUGUAAAGGGAGCGUAGACGGCUGUGCAAGUCUGAAGUGAAAGCCCAGGGCUCAACCCUGGGACUGCUUUGGAAACUGAGGAGCUAGAGUGCUGGAGAGGUAAGCGGAAUUCCUAGUGUAGCGGUGAAAUGCGUAGAUAUUACGAAGAACACCGGUGGCGAAGGCAGCUUACUGGACAGUAACUGACGUUGAGGCACGAAAGCGUGGGGAGCGAACAGGAUUAGAUACCCUGGUAGUC